GACGUAGGGCGCGAGCGUUGUCCGGAUUUAUUGGGCGUAAAGAGCUCGUAGGCGGCUUGUCGCGUCGUCCGUGAAAACCUGCGGCUCAACUGCAGGCUGGCGGUCGAUACGGGCAGGCUGGAGUUCGGUAGGGGAGACUGGAAUUCCUGGUGUAGCGGUGAAAUGCGCAGAUAUCAGGAGGAACACCGGUGGCGAAGGCGGAUCUCUGGGCCGAUACUGACGCUGAGGAGCGAAAGCAUGGGGAGCGAACAGG
rnacentral:rRNA from 1 species